AUGGCGCAAACUUCAAACAUCCGUGAGAUUGAAAUCCUUUUACUAGAUGAUGAAAAGAUCCGGAUCACGCUAUGGGGUGAUAUUUUAGCAAAUAUGGUGAAUGAAAGACUUCCGCACAAACAAACAGUAGUGAUUGUCACUUCAAAUUUGGUCAGAAAAUUCAAUGGGCUAUCACUAUGCACAACAAAUGCAUCUAAAGUCUUCCUCAGCCCUGAAAUUCCAGAGACAAACCAAAUUAUUGAGAGGUAUCGUGAAAGAGAUGUUAUUCCAACAAUGAUUGGAAUCAACGAAAGCACCCAACGAACAAUUGAGGAGCAAAUGUUGUACAACAGAAAAACAUUGAAGGAAAUUAUAGAACUGCGAUAUGCUGAUGUUAAAAGAAAGAGCAUACUGGAAAGGCAAGACACACAAGGUUCUUCAAAUUUGGCUAUGCACAAGUCCCAUAACGAGGUGAACCACUCCUCCAAGAAUGCAACAAAUGAUGAGAAGAAGGAUAUGUGCAGAAAGGAAACCUCAAUAUCCUCUAACCAAAAGGAACAACGCAGGACAAAGAUACAAAAGUCUAGCAAAAGAUAUGAAAAAGAUGUGAGACCGUUUGCUUCCAGAAAUAGCAGAAAAUCAGUUGUUAAAAUUGAAGCUCCUGAUGACGAGGAAAAUAUAUUUGAAAAGGAGGUAGCAAACAUUCAAGCUACAGGUUCAGAUAUAAUUACCAUAGAAGAUGAUUCAGAUAAAGACUGCAGACAAAACAAUACACAUGUCAGAAGGCCUACCAACAAGAAACUCAGAAGAGUUGUGAACAAAAACAAAUUCAAUAGUGAGGUCAAAGAAACUGCAGAUCCGAGAUAUAACAAGGAUUUCAGAAACGACAACCACAGCGAGGGAUAUAAAAAUGUUAAGACCAAGGUACAAGAGGAAGAAAAUGACACAAAUGAUGAUUCCGCCAAUGAAGAAACCAAUAAUGAGGUACAAGAGGAAGGAAAUGAUACAGAUGGUGAUUUCACAAGUGAAGAAAUCAAUACUGGAUCAAGGAAAAUUGCAGACCUGCGGGAGAUGAAAUCCAUCACCGAAUCAAUUGCACAGACCACAACAUCAACGACACCGUGCAGAUCGACCAUCUCGCCUCCUAACUGGCGCACCAGAUCCCCAUUUACCAACCCACAGGAGGUGUACGAGGAGGAAAACUAG
rnacentral:rRNA from 1 species